rnacentral:misc_RNA from 1 species
UAAUAAAAGUGUUUUAUGGCACUUUUAAAACAAUCCAUAUCCACCUUGUGUGCAAUGUUUUUUAUAAUUUUCAACUCUAUUUUAAUUUAUUUUGUCUGAAAUAUAUUAUGAAUACUUAAUUCAAAAAUA